AGUGAACGCUGGCGGUAGGCCUAACACAUGCAAGUCGAACGGCAGCACAGUAAGAGCUUGCUCUUACGGGUGGCGAGUGGCGGACGGGUGAGGAAUACAUCGGAAUCUACUUUUUCGUGGGGGAUAACGUAGGGAAACUUACGCUAAUACCGCAUACGACCUACGGGUGAAAGCAGGGGAUCUUCGGACCUUGCGCGAUUGAAUGAGCCGAUGUCGGAUUAGCUAGUUGGCGGGGUAAGGGCCCACCAAGGCGACGAUCCGUAGCUGGUCUGAGAGGAUGGUCAGCCACACUGGAACUGAGACACGGUCCAGACUCCUACGGGAGGCAGCAGUGGGGAAUAUUGGACAAUGGGCGCAAGCCUGAUCCAGCCAUACCGCGUGGGUGAAGAAGGCCUUCGGGUUGUAAAGCCCUUUUGUUGGGAAAGAAAAGCAGCAGGUUAAUACCCCGCUGUUCUGACGGUACCCAAAGAAUAAGCACCGGCUAACUUCGUG
rnacentral:rRNA from 1 species